rnacentral:rRNA from 1 species
CAGCAGCCGCGGUAAUACGUAGGGUGCAAGCGUUAAUCGGAAUUACUGGGCGUAAAGCGUGCGCAGGCGGUUAUAUAAGACAGUUGUGAAAUCCCCGGGCUCAACCUGGGAACUGCAUUUGUGACUGUAUAGCUAGAGUACGGCAGAGGGGGAUGGAAUUCCGCGUGUAGCAGUGAAAUGCGUAGAUAUGCGGAGGAACACCGAUGGCGAAGGCAAUCCCCUGGGCCUGUACUGACGCUCAUGCACGAAAGCGUGGGGAGCAAAAAGGAUUAGAUACCCCAGUAGUCCCUGUCUCUUAUAU